rnacentral:rRNA from 1 species
GGACGGGUGAGUAACACGUGGAUAACCUACCUAUAAGACUGGGAUAACUUCGGGAAACCGGAGCUAAUACCGGAUAAUAUUUUGAACCGCAUGGUUCAAAAGUGAAAGACGGUCUUGCUGUCACUUAUAGAUGGACCCGCGCUGCAUUAGCUAGUUGGUAAGGUAACGGCUUACCAAGGCAACGAUGCAUAGCCGACCUGAGAGGGUGAUCGGCCACACUGGAACUGAGACACGGUCCAG